rnacentral:lncRNA from 1 species
GCCCAAUCCUGCUUCCUUCCCUUCCCUUCCAAGAGUAUUCCCUCCUCAGCUUCCUGCAUGCCAAUCUGACCCUUAAAGUUAGCUUCCAAGCUGCCAUAGCCACGGUCAGGUAACCUAGGAUGGUGAGAAAAAGGUUUUGCUCUUUUGGUUUCCAAGCAAUUAGAUGCUUCCAUGUCACCUAGUUACCUAGAGUAGUUGGCCUACGUGAAAGGAAGAGAAGUCAUCCCUCAAAAAGUAAUUCGCUGAACACUUAUGAACCCACCACCCAGCUUGACGACUAAAAUAUUACCAAAUAUCGGUGAAAAUCCAGUGUGCGGCUAUUGCCUAAUGCUACCCUCCUACGUUCCCCCAAAGCAACAGGAUCCGAAGGAAACUUCUGACAGCUUUGGGGACAACAAGAAACACAGAUGUGCUACCUGCAAACCCUUGAGUUCUCCAUCUUGCUCGCUGUCUCUGAGGGCUGUGGACUAAUCAUCUAUGAGAUCCUUCUGCUUUGACCACCUACUAUGCAUCUUAAACAUUGCAACAUUCUUAAUCCUGCUACAUUACUAUUCCUGCCUGACAAAGGUGAGCCCCAUUACUGUGAGCUAAUAAAGUCCCAUUUCACGAUACAUGUGCUGAUAUACAAGACACUCCUUUGACUAAUCCUGACCUAAUUUUGUUUGUUGAUGGGUCAUACUGUAAAAUUGAAAAAGGGGAUUUCCAAGCUGAUAAUACUGUUACUCCCCAAUAUGAACUACUUGAGAGGGGAAUCUCUCACAAGCUAAAUCAGCCCAACAAGCAGAGCUCUAUGCCGUUACCAGAGUGUGACACUUAUCAAAAGGACAAAUUGUUAAUAUUUAUACUGAUAGCCAGUAUGCCUUUGGAGUUGUCCAUGAUUUGGGGAUGUCAUAGAAACAAAGGGGUUUCUUACAUUCACUGGGACCCCAAUCAAAAAUGGACAAGUAAAUGACCUUCUUACUGCUAUUCUCUUCCCUUCUGAAAUUGUGGUCAUCAAACUCACACUGAAAAGACUGAACCUGAGUAGCAGGAGAGUGCCCUAGCUGAUUUUACGCAAAGACAGCAGCAAAAGAAUCUAUAAAGGUUGUGGCACAUGUGGAUGAAAUCCUUUCUGCUUCUGCAAAAAAAUGACCCCUUGUUGCCAUACUUUUGCCUUUCUGAUGUCCUUGCAACAUCGAAAUAGUAUACUCCUGAAUGAGAGAAAUUAAGAUGGGCAAAUAAUGAUUGUAAAUUCAAUGAAUGCUAGGGGCUAUGGGAAACCCAAGAUGGCUGCUUGGUUCUUCCUGGCUCCCUAGCAAAGCCCAUUUUUUGGUUUUUACAUUCGUUCAUCCACUAUGUUGCAAUUAAGAUGACUCAAAUUAUGAAUAAAGAUUGAUGGGGAGAUUUCUAUAAAAUUGCAAAAACAGUUUACCACCAAUGUCUGACCUGUCAGGUCCAUAA